CCGGAGCUAACGCGUUAAAUCGACGCUGGGGAGUACGGCCGCAAGGUUAAAACUCAAAUGAAUUGACGGGGGCCCGCACAAGCGGUGGAGCAUGUGGUUUAAUUCGAUGCAACGCGAAGAACCUUACCUGGUCUUGACAUCCAUAGAAUCUUUCAGAGAUGAGAGAGUGCCUUCGGGAGCUAUGAGACAGGUGCUGCAUGGCUGUCGUCAGCUCGUGUUGUGAAAUGUUGGGUUAAGUCCCGCAACGAGCGCAACCCCUAUCCUUUGUUGCCAGCACGUAAUGGUGGGAACUCAAAGGAGACUGCCGUUGAUAAAGCGGAGGAAGGUGGGGACGACGUCAAGUCAUCAUGGCCCUUACGACCAGGGCUACACACGUGCUACAAUGGCGUAUACAAAGGGAUGCGAAGGUGCGAACUGGAGCGGACCUCACAAAGUACGUCUAAGUCCGGAUUGGAGUCUGCAACUCGACUCCAUGAAGUCGGAAUCGCUAGUAAUCGUGAAUCAGAAUGUCACGGUGAAUACGUUCCCGGGCCUUGUACACACCGCCCGUCACACCAUGGGAGUGGGUUGCACCAGAAGUAGAUAGCUUAACCUUCGGGAGGGCGUUUACCACGGUGUGGUUCAUGACUGGGGUGAAGUCGUAACAAGGUAACCA
rnacentral:rRNA from 1 species